ensembl:processed_transcript
CAUAACAUCCAAACCAAACAGUAGUUAUUUCCUAGGUCUUCCUAGAUUGCCACACCCACCAAAUCCUAAAUUGAAAAGGAUUAGUUUUUCUGGUUUCUACUGAGAUCUAAAAUAAACUUUAAAUUGGCGCACUCGUAGUUAGGUACCUGUAAGUGAGAAAAGCCACUGUGGACCCUCAGCCUUUGUUUCCACCUUUGGACCAGGUUUGGAAGUUUGGCCUGAAUAGCAAAGGAAAAAGGAAAAAGAAAAAAAAAAAAAAAAAGAACUCCCGGAAAGGGCCACAUCUCCUGUUUUGAAUCCCAUUUCCUUUCAUCUUUUAUGGACAUAGUCGGCUGUCAUUAUGCACCUAUACCUGGACACACGUUUCUCUUUCAGAGAUAAGUAAUAAAAGGACCAGAUUGGCUAA